UUAAUGAUAAUGAUAUUAUUAAAGUAAAACUCUGCAGACCUGAUGGAAUUCAGAAAAUGCACAAGCUCUGAUUAAUAUUCUAAACAGAUCCAGCCUUUUCUAGGAACUCAGUAGCAGUCUAAGAUCAAGGAUUCACCUGGUUUCUUUUUAGAGAAAAACCUGAAAACUGGAAUGAAGUUUUAUUGGAAGUUGUACACCUUCAUUAUCAGUACCUGGCAAAUGAGUAGUGGAGUGACAGAAGCCUGAAGUGUCCCUCUACAAGGAAGGAGUCAAUCAAAAGCUGAUAUGAAGCUGUAACAUCCUUCCUGGAAAUGGGAACCUUUCCACCAGAGUGGUGAUGGAUCAUCAGACUCACUCUAUCAAACAGAAAACUUAAUUUGCAAUAACUGAGGCUCAGGUAUGAUGCAAGACCACUUGUAUUCACCUAGCAAUGACCGACUCUAUAGAAACUGUCAGCAGAGGUCCCUAUGGUCUGCUGAAACCUGGAGCUUCCCUUUUCUUUCUGGGAUAUGAUGGACAUAAAUAUAAGUUAAUAGUAAAAGAUGAAGCACAUUGAAGAGUGGAGAGCAGUGUAUGAUUGUGAAGGUGAAUGAAUAUUGAAUUGCUCUACAUUGAAGCAGUUAGGAACAUUAAUUACUCUGGAUUUUAAGUAUUAGAAGGGGAACAUGCACUAUACAUGUACUUCUAGGAUGUGUGCCUGAGAAAUUAGCAUAUAUCUGCAUAACCCUAAAAAACCACUAUAGAUUCAGAACCAUUCCUGAAGCUUGCCUAGUUUGUGUUUUGCUUUGCUAGGCACAUAGAAAAGAUAGGAUUUUCUCUUCUCCUUCCCAGGCAAAGUGGGUUCCAAAGUGGUUCAAAUCCUGGUAAUCCAGCCUGAAGAAUGAAAUAUUCUUGAAAAGACAGGGUAUGCUGUCUGAAGAACAGAUCUCUGCCAGGGCUGCUGCUCUUACAGGCACAUCCAGACUGGCUGUAAAUGAGGUUGUUCAGGCAGUGAUGUAGCCACAGCAGCUCAGAGCUGCACAGGGCACGCUGUUUACCCUGUUUUUCAGCCAUGGAACAACAUUCACAUCAGUGAAUGCAGUGGAGACAUACCCAGAAUAAGAAUGUGAUUUAUUCUUUCAAUGUGAGAAGCAGCUAUAUGUUCAACAAAGGCUUUCCUUAGACUAAUGGCCAAAGUAGGCCCCAGUGCAGCUCCUCUAUAGACUGAGAAGAAAGGAUUGUUUGUUGAGGCCCAACUGUCCCCAAAAACCAGUCUGCUGAGUGGAUUCCGUCAUGUAUGAGUUCUCUGCUCGCUUCAUUGUCACGGGUGUUUCCGCAAGCCUGCCAUGCACGGCAUAACUGGGGAAUUUACUGCAGCAGUUGCUGAUAGAGCAAAUAAUUCAAAGUCCUGUCACAGCUUGGAAAGAACAGAAGACUACUACAGA